AAUGAACGUUGGCGGCGUGGAUUAGGCAUGCAAGUCGAGCGAGAACCGUAGCAAUACGGGGACAGCGGCGAGAGGGACAGUAAUGUGUAGGUACAUAUCCCCGGGUUCGGGAUAGCUGCGGGAAACUGCAGGUAAUACCGAAUAAUGUCUUCGGACCAAAGGUGUGAUUCCACCUGGGGAGGGGCCUGCUUCCUAUUAGCGUGAUGGUGGGGUAACGGCUUACCAAGGCGACGAUGGGUAGCGGGUGUGAGAGCAUGACCCGCGUCAUUGGGACUGAGACACUGCCCAGACACCUACGGGUGGCUGCAGUCGAGGAUCUUCGGCAAUGGGCGCAAGCCUGACCGAGCGACGCCGCGUGCGGGAUGAAGGCCUUCGGGUUGUAAACCGCUGUCGUAGAGGAGGAAAUGCAGGAGGGUUCUCCCUUCUGUUUGACCUAUUCUAGGAGGAAGUACGGGCUAAGUUCGUGCCAGCCGCCGCCGUAA
rnacentral:rRNA from 1 species